AUUGAACGCUGGCGGCAGGCCUAACACAUGCAAGUCGAACGGUAACAGGAAGAAGCUUGCUUCUUUGCUGACGAGUGGCGGACGGGUGAGUAAUGUCUGGGAAACUGCCUGAUGGAGGGGGAUAACUACUGGAAACGGUAGCUAAUACCGCAUAACGUCGCAAGACCAACGAGGGGGACCUUCGGGCCUCUUGCCAUCGGAUGUUCCCAGAUGGGAUUAGCUAGUAGGUGGGGUAACGGCUCACCUAGGCGACGCUCCCUAGCUGGUCUGAGAGGAUGACCGGCCACACUGGAACUGAGACACGGUCCAGACUCCUACGGGAGGCAGCAGUGGGGAAUAUUGCACAAUGGGCGAAAGCCUGAUGGAGCCAUGCCGCGUGUAUGAAGAAGGCCUUCGGGUUGUAAAGUACUUUCAGCGGGGAGGAAGGGAGUAAAGUUAAUACCUGUGCUCAUUGACGGUACCCGCAGAAGAAGCACCGGCUAACUCCGUG
rnacentral:rRNA from 1 species